CGCUUAACAAGCAAACGGCAUCCAAGCCUCUCCUCCGCACGGCAGUUAUCCUGGAAGGAACGGGGCCGUACCUUGACCUAAGACACUCAUACACGGUGCAGGGCGUUGCGUAGAAGGGCUGUUGAACAAGGCGGGUUCAACCCGGUCACACCGUUGUGUCGCCGCUGUAGACGCCCUGGUAGAGGCGAUGCUGAAGGAAUGUGACUUCUUCUCGGACUCAUAUGGCUGCAUCAUUACCAAGUCUAUCGGGUAUCAGGCCCCGUUCCCUCUCGUGCGGCUGAGCAACGGGUGGUCCACGAAGACCCCUGACGGGGCGUGUGUGCAGGGAGCAUGUUUCGUUUCCUUCGGAGCCGACGACACAGGCUCACGGGGUCGUCUUCUCACCAUGGAUGUCUCGGCACGUGCUUCGAGCAUUUCGUUUUUGCAGCUGCUGUCGAGUUCGUGCCCGCCGCUGGCUCUCGAGCCGGAGGUCGAGUACGUCUCGAAGAUUGAAACCACGGAGACGGCUUCUGCUGUGGUGACUCGCAGCGGAGGAAAUCGGUGGAGCACGUCUGUGUACGUACAGGGCGAGGAUGUGCCAGGCACAGCGUACUCUCGGCGGGCGCACUUUCGCCGGGCCUCCGCCGCGUCUCUCUUUGGUUCCUCACUGUGGCUGAUGGAGGCGACGAAGGACGACCAUGGUGCCCAAGCGGUACACCGCUAUUCACUCGCGACGGCCCUUACAGGUGGGGUGUCAGAGUCGACCCUUGUGAGCGGCAACCUCGGUCGGCCGCUGGAUAUCAUUGCCCUCUCCGAGGACACUGCCCUUGUUCUAGGCACAAACGGCGUCGCGAUGGCUGAUCGACGACAGCGCGCCUCUGACAUUCUCUUCUUUUCAGAUUUAUUGAACGGCGGCGCAACAGGCGACAGGCAGUUGCUGACCUUUGGUGAAGACUACACGCUGCGCGCCUACGACCUACGUGACGUAUCUGCUCCCCUGUGCCAGGCAACAUCCGCAACCUAUCUGCGCAUCAAGUCAGAAAUUGGCACGCGGGCCUCACUCUUGGUGGCGUCUGACAUGACAGGCGUGUUCGACGUGCUGCACGUGACCACGGUAGCAUCCUUGCAACAUUCUGGUGACACCGUGCUGGAUGCAGCUGUCCUUCCUAGCGGGCACAACGGCGUCCGUGUGUGCACAAGCACCGGAAGUGGGAUGAUCUACGACUGGACGGUGGCGUAAUUCACACCUUCUCACAGUGUCGCUUUUAUUCUUUGUACCUCAUGAUUGAAGGAACGCUCAUCCAUUUCCGCUUGAGCUGCGUCCUAUGUGCGUGGCUUUCUGGACUUCGGCACUCUCUGCUCCUCCUCAUCGUCCCUGUUCAUUGGGCUGUGCCUCAUCGAUCGCUGUCGAGAAAGGGAGGGAGAUACGCCAGCACAUGGGCACAAAAAGAGCACUAUCGGUGGCUUGCAAGCACUGAAAGCGUUUCUGCACCGCGCCCGUGGUGCAUUUUCGACACGUGCGUCUCUAAACAUUUUGCUGCCGCCUUUUUAUUUCUUUGCUUGCUUGUUUCAUUUUCGCUUUCCCUCGGCCUCAUGACGGCGCAUACUUCUCAG
rnacentral:misc_RNA from 1 species